rnacentral:rRNA from 1 species
CCUACGGGCGGCAGCAGUGAGGAAUAUUGGUCAAUGGGCGCGAGCCUGAACCAGCCAAGCAGCGUGAAGGAUGACUGCCCUACGGGUUGUAAACUUCUUUUAUAAAGGAAUAAAGUGAGGCACGUGUGCCUUUCUGUAUGUACUUUAUGAAUAAGGAUCGGCUAACUCCGUGCCAGCAGCCGCGGUAAUACGGAGGAUCCGAGCGUUAUCCGGAUUUAUUGGGUUUAAAGGGAGCGUAGAUGGGUGGUUAAGUCAGUUGUGAAAGCUUGCGGCUCAACCGGGAAAUUGCAAUUGAUACUGGCAGGCUUGAGUACAGUUGAGGUAGGCGGAAUGUGUGGUGUAGCGGUGAAAUGCUUAGAUAUCACGAAGAACUCCGAUUGCGAAGGCAGCUUACUAAUCUGCCACUGACAUUGAUGCUCGAAAGUGUGGGUAUCAAACAGGAUUAGAUACCCUUGUAGUC